rnacentral:rRNA from 1 species
UGGGGAAUAUUGCGCAAUGGGCGACAGCCUGACGCAGCGACGCCGCGUGAGGGAUGAAGGUUUUCGGAUCGUAAACCUCUGUCAGAAGGGAAGAAACCGCACUGUGCUAAUCAGCAGUGCCUUGACGGUACCUUCAAAGGAAGCACCGGCUAACUCCGUGCCAGCAGCCGCGGUAAUACGGAGGGUGCAAGCGUUAAUCGGAAUUACUGGGCGUAAAGCGCACGUAGGCUGCUUUGUAAGUCAGGGGUGAAAUCCCACGGCUCAACCGUGGAACUGCCUUUGAUACUGCUUAGCUUGAAUCCGGGAGAGGGUGGCGGAAUUCCAGGUGUAGGAGUGAAAUCCGUAGAUAUCUGGAGGAACAUCAGUGGAGAAGGCGGCCACCUGGAACGGUAUUGACGCUGAGGUGCGAAAGCGUGGGGAGCAAACAGG